rnacentral:misc_RNA from 1 species
GCAACGUUGCGUUUGGUAGCAGACGAAUUUUUCUUGAAAUUCUGAUGUAAAAUUCAGCAAUUCAGCGAUCAAGAGCCGGAAAUCUCGUGGAAGAUAGAUAAGCUACUGUUUCUUGGAUUGAUUCAUUUAUUUUUAGUUAGAAAUGGUGGAACCAGUUCCCGAAUCAAUUGAUUUUGCUCAGGAAGAAGGAAAAAUCUUGGAAUACUGGAAGAAAAUUGAUGCAUUUAAAACCAGUUUGAAAUUGUCCAAAGGGAAACCUAGGUACACAUUCUAUGAUGGACCUCCAUUCGCUACUGGCCUUCCUCAUUAUGGGCACAUCUUAGCUGGAACUAUCAAGGAUAUUGUCACCCGAUAUGCUCAUCAAAAUGGUUUUCAUGUUGAGAGGCGUUUUGGAUGGGACACACAUGGCCUUCCAGUUGAAUAUGAAAUUGACAAAACUCUUGGGAUCAAAGGCCCAGAAGAUGUCAUGAAAAUGGGAAUUGCCAAUUACAACGCCGAGUGCAGAAAGAUUGUCAUGCGUUACGCAGAGGACUGGGAGACCAUUGUCAACAGAAUGGGACGUUGGAUUGAUUUCGAGAAUGACUACAAAACCCUUUACCCGUGGUUCAUGGAAUCAAUCUGGUGGGUUUUCAAGCAACUCUUCGAGAAGGGGCUAGUCUACCGUGGAUUCAAAGUGAUGCCUUUCUCGACGGCUUGUAGUACUCCAUUGUCCAACUUCGAGUCGGGACAGAACUACAAAGAAGUGGUUGAUCCGGCAGUAAUUGUUAGCUUCCCGCUUGACGAUGAGCCGUCAGUGUCUAUUCUCGCAUGGACCACUACUCCAUGGACACUGCCGAGUAAUCUUGCACUUUGCGUCAACGCCACGCUGGACUAUGUUCGAGUUAAAGAAAAAGCAACAGAAAAGGUUUACAUCAUGAUGGAAGCUCGUCUCAGUGCACUUUUCAAAUCUGGAGAAGAAUACGAAAUUGUGGAACGAUUCAAAGGAGAAGUUCUCAAGGGAAAAACAUAUCUGCCACUGUUCCCUUACUUUGCCAGCUUGAAGACUUCCGGCUCUGGAGCAUUUAAAGUUUUAACGGAUUCCUACGUCACCGACGAAUCCGGCACUGGUAUCGUUCACCAAGCCCCAUACUUUGGUGAGGACGAUUACCGAGUUUGCCUGGCAGCUGGCAUUAUCUCAAGAGAUCAGGAGAUGAUUUGUCCUGUGGAUGAUGGAGGAAGAUUCAUUGAUCCAGUUACUGAUUUCGCCGGCCAGCACGUCAAAGAUGCAGACAAGAACAUUAUCAAAAUGUUGAAAGACUGUGGCCGAUUGGUGAAUUCCGGCACCGUAAAGCACAGCUAUCCUUUCUGCUGGCGCUCUGAAACACCCCUUAUCUACCGUGCUGUUCCUUCUUGGUUCAUCCGUGUGGAGCAAAUGUCCAAACAGCUGUUGGAAAACAACCAGAAAACUUAUUGGGUGCCCGACUUUGUCAAAGAAAAACGGUUCGGCAACUGGCUGCGUGACGCCAGAGAUUGGGCCGUCAGUCGCAACCGUUACUGGGGCACUCCAAUUCCCAUUUGGAUGUCGGAAGAUGGCGAAGAGGUGGUGUGUGUCGGAUCCAUCGCCGAGUUGAAAGAACUCACGGGCAUUGAAUUGACUGAUUUGCAUCGCGAGAACGUUGAUGGCAUCACUAUUCCCUCCAAAAUUCCCGGUCGGCCACCCUUGAAACGUGUCUCAGAGGUUUUCGACUGUUGGUUCGAAUCUGGAUCCAUGCCUUACGCUCAAGUCCACUACCCGUUUGAAAACAGGAAAGAAUUUGAGGACUGUUUCCCUGCCGAUUUCAUUGCCGAAGGCAUUGAUCAAACACGCGGAUGGUUCUAUACGCUGUUGGUUUUGUCGACUGCCCUCUUCAAUAAACCACCGUUCAAAAAUUUGAUUGUCAACGGCUUGGUGUUGGCCAGUGACGGCCAGAAAAUGUCAAAGAAGAAGAAGAACUACCCCGAUCCAAUGCUGGUUGUCAAUAAAUUUGGAGCUGAUGCUCUUCGUCUCUACUUGAUCAACUCCCCAGUUGUUCGUGCGGAGAAUCUGCGCUUCAAAGAGGAAGGUGUUCGAGAUAUUAUCAAAGACGUUUUCCUACCCUGGUACAACGCUUACCGAUUCUUUGUCCAAAAUCUUGAACGUCUCGAGCGCGAAGAUGGAAUUAAAUUCGUUUAUGAAGAAGAGGCCUCUAAUUUGUCAACGAAUGUGAUGGAUCGCUGGAUCAUUUCCUACACUCAGUCCUUGCUGCUAUUCGUCCACCAAGAAAUGGCUGCCUAUCGGCUGUACACUGUUGUUCCUCGUCUUGUCCGGUUUGUAGACUACCUGACCAACUGGUACGUGCGGAUGAACCGUAAGCGACUAAAGGGAGAUGGUGGCAAGGACGAUUGUCAUCACGCCUUGCAGACACUUUUCAGUGUCUUGUUUUCCAUGAUCCGUGUUAUGGCCCCAUUCACGCCCUUCCUGACCGAAUUGAUGUACCGCAACUUGCGUCAUUUAGUGGCCAACCAGAAAGCCGGAACGACGGAAUCCGUUCAUUUCCUUUCUACGCCUGAACCAAAGAAACAUUUGAUUGAUGUCAAAAUUGAAAAUGCCGUGAGUCGGAUGCAAGUGGUGAUUGAACUCGGACGUGUUCUUCGUGAUCGCCGCACUCUGCCCAUCAAGUACCCUUUGCCGGAAGUGAUUGUUAUCCUCCGUGAGCAAGAGUCCUUGGAUGAAUUGAGGACUAUGGAACGAUACAUUCUGGAAGAGUUGAAUGUCCGUGCUCUCAAACUGACCACCGACAAGGACAGUUUUGGAGUCAGUCUACGUGCAGAACCGGAUCACCGCAUUGGAGCGCGACUCAAAGGCCAAUUCAAGGCUGUCAUGGCUGCAAUCAAGACCCUGACGGAUGAGCAGCUACAAGGAUUCUUAACCGAAGGUCAGAUCGAUGUUUUGGGUAACAUGAUGGGUCCAGAGGAUUUGCGGAUCUUUUACCAGUUCACUGGUGACCGAGCUGCUGAAUUGGCCCAGCAAUACGAGACACAAGCGGAAAAAGACGUGUUGGUGUUGUUGAAUGUAGUCCAAGACCAAAGCAUGAAGGACGAAGGUUUGGCCCGAGAAGCCAUUAACUUGGUCCAAAAACUGCGCAAGGAAGCUCACGUAACUCCUUCUGAUGCCGUCAGCGUCUACUUUGAGGUGGUUCCUCCUACCGGAAACGUAGCAGAUGUUGUCGACAGAUUUUCAAAUUACAUGGAGACUGCCAUUAAAGUUCCAUGGAGAUCGGCAUCAACCAAGAAGUCGGGGACAAAAGUCCUCAUCAACAAAUCACAAAAGAUGCAAGGUGUAGAUUUAGUGCUGACCAUUCAAGAAGGAUUCACUGCCGACUGGGCAGCAAAAGCCGGAGUCCCUCCAGGCAAGAAGUCUCUUUUUGCCACCCAGGCUCCUACAGAUUUGUUUAAUGUCAAAUUAGACGGCAAAUGGGAACGGUCCUGUUGGAGAAUCCUGCGGGAUUUCCACUGUUCAGCUCUGCAGAGGAAAUGCAGCGGAAAACCGGAGCCAUAUACUCGACAUCGAAGAAGUUGUCCUCCGAUGAAAAGAAAAUGCAGCCAGUGAAAUUUGAAAGCCUGGACAAGGGAAACACUAACAAGGGAAAGUCUAUUUACUUUGAUUCACCUGAAACAAUUGUUGGUGGCUUAAAGAAUAGCGUGACAUUAUAUUGUCACAAUUGCUGUGUACUUGGGCAUAUCUGAGGCUGAGGCAAUCAGUAAACACUAAACAAUAAAGUGUUUGAUGGUCUCCCAAUUUGCAUGCAAUGUUUGCAGGAGUUAUUUUGAACUAAUUGAAUUGAUUGUAGGGCUUAGAAAGUGCGCCCUUCAUUUUUUUUUUUUUUUUUUUGUGCUUUUCAUUUAGAGACGGCGCUUGCUUUCAAAUCCCCUAAAGAGCGAUCUGACACGCCGCGGCGUCAGUUCUACUCGAUACACUACACAGAGCGCAUCUUGAAACAAAUAUUAUCCUCGUGCCAGUGUGUUGGCUGUUACGGAACUUUACCGAUUUCCAAGCAAGUUGACUAGUAGACUACCUUAUUUUCUCCGUCUGACUGGAUUAUAGCCGGCAGUAACUAACAUUCCAGCGAAGUCUACAUUCUUGUUGUUGUUCAUAUGCUACACGGAUGGGUGCGUGAUGGUGAAUAAAUUGUAAGAUCUUUUGAAAUUGGA